GAACUUCCCACCUUGCUCUUGGGGAGACUCGAACUCACAACCUCUCGGUUGGAAGUGGGGAUUGCUUACCAUCAGAGCAACCCCUCUUGUCUUAUAAGCAACUAGAUCAAAAAUAAAAAAGCACAGUAAAAGGAUAAAAGAACACAUAGAGUCAAUUCCACUUUCUUCUUAUCACCAUGCUUCUGUACUCAUAUGUACUGCAUCAAUCAAAGUAACAAUCUCACUUCACAGUCUCAGCAAUUAAAGUUACAGUCUCACCUGCAAUCAGUAUAUAUAAACAAGAAGUAGGUAUAUGAAUUUUUCAGACCCUACACAUUUAAAGGUAAUCAACAAAAGUACAAGAGAAAUAGGUACCAGAAGUAAUCUUAAUCCUUCAAAAUACCAGAAGCUGAUGACAACACUUGACUAUAUGAGUUUUCAGACCCUACAUCCAUAUUUAAAGAGCAAGGGUACAUAUUUAGUAGUCAGGAAAAAAAAUUAUUUUGAAAAGCUCAAAUAAACUUAUAGCUCCAAAAGAAUCCAAUAUGAUCAUUUGUAAAGUAGUUUCACAAUAAGCUAAAGAAAUGUAACAUGUCAAAUGUCAGAGGGCACUACAUUGGCUUAAAUUCGAAUUCUUACCAGAUAUAUUAACACUACAAGUCGAUUACGGAAGUGUUUUUUCUAUUGCUGUCUAAAUCUGAAGAAAAAAAAUUAAAAUAAUGAAUCGUGCGAUAAAUAUAAUCAUAUCAACAACACUUAUAUACAACAAAUAUAGUAACAAUAUUAUUACCUUGUUCAAUCUGCUCGAUUUAUCAAGAUCUUCCUCAACACUAAUAGAUUAUUUUAAUUUUUUAUUUCGAAGCCAAUCUUGAAGGCACACUAGAGCUUGCACCAAUUUAGGAGUUAAUGAACUCCUAAAUGAAUCAAGAAGACGUCAUCUUGUACUAAACCCACAUUCGGAUGCCACACUUGAAACCGGAAUGAGUCACUGCAACAAGAAAAGAAAAGGAAUGAGAAUAAAGACAUCAAGUUGUAAUGGACUAGUUUUGAGCUUGCAUUAAACAAAACUAGAGCAUGUUCUCGCAAUGAACUUAACGAUGAAAACACAGCUAUUAAGGAUCAACAUUUAGUCUGGAUUAAUUAAUUUAACUGACACUGACUUCUGAGAAGGAAUAGCGAUAAGCAGAGAUCAUCUUGCCAUAUUCAUGGCUUAAACAAUACUAGCGCUUCGUUUGUAACUCACUAGCCCUGAGUUCCUUGAAUUGAAAUUGAGACAGAAAGGGCACAGUACAAAACAUAAGAACAGAUAAAUGAAGACGAAGAAGAAAACCGUAAAAUUAUCAAAAUCAACAACUUCUUCUAGAGCUGAAAUGAUAAUGUUGUCCAAGGAUGUGAUGAUGGACAUCUUGUCAAGGCUACUCGCAAAGACAUUAUGCAGGUUAAGAUGCGUUUGCAAACAGUGGAUAAGCUUAAUUUCUGACCCAUUUUUCAAAUCCCUUUAUAGGGCACGCUCAUCUAUUAAACCCAAUUUGUUUUUUUUUUUCAAGAGAAAUGUUGCGAUACCUCUACUACUAGAGUAAGUAUAUCAUUAGUUGAUUUUGAUGGGAAUCAUAGUAAGAGUACUUGGAUAGCGAGAGGGAGAGAUCGGAGACAAGACGGCGAGAAGGAGACUGGUGGCCGGUGAAAGUCGACGACGACAAGGAUUGGUGGGUUGUGGCUGCUGGUUUAGGCGUUAGGGUUUCUAUGAUUUUGUUUUUUAAUUAUUUAGAAAUGCGUUAGUUCUAGAGAAUAGAUU
rnacentral:lncRNA from 1 species